CAUGCAAGUCGUACGGGGGACUUUGAUAGCUUGCUAGAGAAGUUCCUAGUGGCGCACGGGUGAGUAACACGUGAGUGACAUGCCCUGCAGUGGGGGAUAGCCCGCCGAAAGGCGGAUUAAUACCCCAUGGUUUCCGCAAGGAUAAAGGUGGCUUUUAGCUGCCGCUGCAGGAUUGGCUCGCGUCCUAUCAGCUUGUUGGUGAGGUAACGGCUCACCAAGGCGACGACGGGUACCUGGUUUGAGAGGAUGAUCAGGCACACUGGAACUGAGACACGGUCCAGACACCUACGGGUGGCAGCAGUCGAGAAUAAUUCACAAUGGGGGAAACCCUGAUGGUGCAACGCCGCGUGGAGGAUGAAGGUCUUCGGAUUGUAAACUCCUGUCAUUUGAGAGCAAGACCUGGCGGUGAAUAGCCGACAGGGUUGAUAGUAUCGAAAGAGGAAGGGACGGCUAACUUCGUGCCAGCAGCCGCGGUAAUACGAAGGUCCCGAGCGUUGUUCGGAAUCACUGGGCGUAAAGGGAGCGUAGGCGGCAAGGUAAGUCAGGUGUGAAAUCCCGGGGCUCAACCCCGGAACUGCACCCGAUACUGCUUUGCUAGAGUAAUGGAGGGGUAGCUGGAAUUCUCGGUGUAGCAGUGAAAUGCGUGGAUAUCGAGAGGAACACUUAUGGCGAAGGCAAGCUACUGGACAUUUACUGACGCUGAGGCUCGAAGGCCAGGGGAGCGAAAGGGAUUAGAUACCCCUGUAGUCCUGGCAGUAAACGGUGUGCGCUUGGUGUGAGGGGUUUCGACCCCCCUUGUGCCGGAGCUAACGCGUUAAGCGCACCGCCUGGGGAGUACGGUCGCAAGACUAAAACUCAAAGAAAUUGACGGGGACCCGCACAAGCGGUGGAGUAUGUGGCUUAAUUCGAUGCAA
rnacentral:rRNA from 1 species